GAUGAAGAACGUAGCGAAAUGCGAUAAGUAAUGUGAAUUGCAGAAUUCAGUGAAUCAUCGAAUCUUUGAACGCACAUUGCGCCCGCCAGUAUUCUGGCGGGCAUGCCUGUUCGAGCGUCAUUUCAACCCUCAGGACCCUUUGGACCUGGUGUUGGGGCUCGGCCGCUACCCCGCGGCCGUCCCCGAAAGAUAGUGGCGGUCUCGCUGUAGCGUCCUCUGCGUAGUAAUUACACCUCGCACUGGAACGCGGCGCGGCCACGCCGUUAAACAACCCACUUCUCAAGGUUGACCUCGGAUCAGGUAGGAAUACCCGCUGAACUUAAGCAUAUCAAUAAGCGGAGGA
rnacentral:misc_RNA from 1 species